rnacentral:misc_RNA from 1 species
UCACCUCUCAAGCUCCCCGGCUUGGUGUUGGACGGUUUAGCCUUGGUAACAAGGCCCGUUUUAAAGUCAAUGACGGCGGCCUGUUCGACCCCCGGUACACCGAGCUUUUUAACUGAGCACGUAUCGGUGGAAGGGUAGGCAGGACCCGGUCUUCUUCCUUAACCGGAUAACUCUUUCCAA